rnacentral:rRNA from 1 species
AUUGAACGCUGGCGGCAAGCCUAACACAUGCAAGUCGAGCGGAUGAAGGGAGCUUGCUCCUGGAUUCAGCGGCGGACGGGUGAGUAAUGCCUAGGAAUCUGCCUGGUAGUGGGGGAUAACGUCCGGAAACGGGCGCUAAUACCGCAUACGUCCUGAGGGAGAAAGUGGGGGAUCUUCGGACCUCACGCUAUCAGAUGAGCCUAGGUCGGAUUAGCUAGUUGGUGGGGUAAAGGCCUACCAAGGCGACGAUCCGUAACUGGUCUGAGAGGAUGAUCAGUCACACUGGAGCUGAGACACGGUCCAGACUCCUACGGGAGGCAGCAGUGGGGAAUAUUGGACAAUGGGCGAAAGCCUGAUCCAGCCAUGCCGCGUGUGUGAAGAAGGUCUUCGGAUUGUAAAGCACUUUAAGUUGGGAGGAAGGGCAGUAAGUUAAUACCUUGCUGUUUUGACGUUACCAACAGAAUAAGCACCGGCUAACUUCGUG